GCGGACGUGCUCAUCGACCACUCGAUCG
rnacentral:sRNA from 1 species